GGAGGGGAGGCGGGGGCCGGCAGCGGAUGAAUUGCAGACCAGUUGCCAAAACUUUUUUUUCUCUCUCUCUCUCUGCUGCUGCUGCCGCCGCCGCCGCCGCCGCCUUUGCUGCUGCCUUUGCUGCUGCCUUUGCUUUGAAUGUGGGUAACUAGGAAACAGCAAGCCGUCUGAGAAGACGGAAUUUCCAACGUGUAAAAUGUUCUUAACGGAACCAUUGAGCGAGUGCAAUAAGGCGUGAGGGGGAACUAAUCUUCCCAUUUAAAUAUAAGUGUCCUCCAUAACCUCCGAGCUGGCUCUGAAAUUUACAAGAGGAAAGCUAAAAUCGCAUUAAGGGGGAGUGGGGGUGUCCAGGCAAGGGGAGAAAGGAUCUGCGGAGAGCAAGGCCCUCACAAAACCGCCACACAGAGCAGGGAACACAGGGAAAGAACACAGUUUGUUUUAUUUUUUCUAAUUCACUGGACACUAAUGGUCGCGAUUCUUCAUAGUCUCCAUAUUCCCUGAUUCUUCUUCACUGGUACCCUACUCCUUCUCCUAGUGCCCGCCUCUCUCCACUCCCCCCUUCCCAUCUCUCUCUCUCUCUCCCUCUCUGUCUCCCUCCUCCCUCCCCUUUCUUUCCCUCCCCCAACCAGCGAGAGCACGUCGAGAAGAAAGGCUGAAAAUAACCUACUCACCCAAGCUUGCACUGGGGAGGAGGGGCAAAUGGAUGGGUAGUUUAUAAAGUUUAUUAUUAAUUUUUAAAGUAAAUAAAUGGUUGUUCACCGCCA